rnacentral:rRNA from 1 species
GAUGAACGCUGGCGGCGUGCCUAAUACAUGCCAGUCGAGCGAACAGAUGAGGAGCUUGCUCCUCUGACGUUAGCGGCGGACGGGUGAGUAACACGUGGAUAACCUACCUAUAAGACUGGGAUAACUUCGGGAAACCGGAGCUAAUACCGGAUAAUAUAUUGAACCACAUGGUUCAAUAGUGAAAGACGGUUUUGCUGUCACUUAUAGAUGGAUCCGCGCCGCAUUAGCUAGUUGGUAAGGUAACGGCUUACCAAGGCAACGAUGCGUAGCCGACCUGAGAGGGUGAUCGGCCACACUGGAACUGAGACACGGUCCAGACUCCUACGGGAGGCAGCAGUAGGGAAUCUUCCGCAAUGGGCGAAAGCCUGACGGAGCAACGCCGCGUGAGUGAUGAAGGUCUUCGGAUCGUAAAACUCUGUUAUUAGGGAAGAACAAAUGUGUAAGUAACUAUGCACGUCUUGACGGUACCUAAUCAGAAAGCCACGGCUAACUACGUG